rnacentral:rRNA from 1 species
UACGUAGGGUGCGAGCGUUAAUCGGAAUUACUGGGCGUAAAGCGUGCGCAGGCGGUUUUGUAAGCCAGAUGUGAAAUCCCCGGGCUCAACCUGGGACCUGCAUUUGUGACUGCAUCGCUAGAGUACGGUAGAGGGGGAUGGAAUUCCGCGUGUAGCAGUGAAAUGCGUAGAUAUGCGGAGGAACACCGAUGGCGAAGGCAAUCCCUGGACCUGUACUGACGCUCAUGCACGAAAGCGUGGGGAGCAACAGG